rnacentral:lncRNA from 1 species
AACUAUUUGACGCUCAGAAUUCUCUGUGUCAUCAGUCCCAUUUGACUGAUUUUUCUUCUUCUUUUGCCUUUUGGAUAUAGCAUUUUCAUCUUUAGGAUUUUCAUCCUCCACUCAAUUUUGAAUCAUUUUCCUCAAGAUCUUCUUGAUGUUCUUGUUAGCUGCUUCGACGGAACUUAGCAUUUUCAUCUUUAGGCUUUUCAUCCUCCACUAUCUCUUCAAUUUUCACUUUACAAAAUGCAAACAAAAUGUAAGGCAUUUUAAAAUACAAGGAAAUAUACAUUCACAAUGCAUAAUCAAAAUAGGCUAAUAGACUAAACUACGCAAUACAACUGUUCUGCCAUAUAAGAUCCUUUUCCCUAAGUACACUUCAUAUAUAUUCAAAAGAUCAGAUAUGCAUACUCACUCGAGGAAUCAAAGGUAGGACCAUUUAUUACUACUCAUUAUCAAUGUAGAACCAAUUCCAUAAUGGAAGGCCAAGUUUUCAACUUUUUGGGGGAAAGGUGGACUGGUCCUAGGAGCAACAGAAAAAUAUUCAACUGUGAACAUGUUAUCUGAUGCUAUAUGGGGCCGAGUGUUGGCCAAUUAAAAACUCACACGUGCAAAAGAUGAAAGCAUAAAAAAUGAGGAUGUUGAGAUGGAUGAGUGGGUAUACCGGGAAACAUAAGAUUAGG